UCCGCCCCCUAUUCCUCCACUCAGAUUCCACACUUGACAACACGUCUGGCCAAUGAGAAGUUCCUACUCUGCGUGGGAAGGAUGGACUGACUAGAUGAUAGACGUCCAUCCCUGGCCAAUGGGCUAUCAGAAGUGCGGGAGGGGUGUAGAAUGGAACCAAUGGCGAGGUGCCAAAAACGAGCAUCAGGGAAAGGGCGGGACGAAAGUGUUCGCGGGAGGGAGGGGAAGGCCCAGGGAACCAAGCAGCGCUGCCGCCGCCGCCGCUGCAGCCGGAGUUAGAGGAGGGAGAAGCCAGGAAGAAAAUGGCGGCUGUGGCUGCAGAGGCGGCAGCGACUGCAGCGUCCCCCGGGGAGGGGGGCGCCGGCGAGGCCGAGCCGGAGAUGGAGCCCAUCCCCGGCAGUGAGGCCGGCACUGACCCCCUCCCGGUCACGGCCACUGAAGCGUCUGUGCCGGAUGGCGAGACCGACGGGCAGCAGUCCGCUCCUCAGGCCGACGAGCCGCCGCUCCCGCCGCCACCGCCGCCGCCGGGGGAGCUCGCCCGCAGCCCAGAGGCGGCGGGGCCGGAGCUGGAGGCUGAGGAGAAACUGUCCGUUCGGGUGGCGGAGUCAGCGGCAGCCGCGCCUCAGGGAGGGCCCGAACUUCCACCUUCUCCUGCAUCGCCGCCGGAGCAGCCCCCGGCUCCCGAGGAGCGCGAGGAGCCGCCGCUGCCUCAGCCCGUAGCCCCGGCGCUCGUGCCGCCGGCGGGCGGGGACUCCACGGUGUCGCAACUGAUCCCGGGCUCGGAGGUGCGGGUCACGCUGGACCACAUCAUUGAGGACGCGCUCGUCGUGUCGUUCCGCCUCGGGGAGAAGCUUUUCUCCGGGGUCCUCAUGGAUCUGUCCAAAAGGUUUGGGCCCCAUGGUAUCCCUGUGACAGUAUUUCCCAAAAGGGAAUAUAAGGAUAAACCAGAAGCCAUGCCGCUCCAAAGUAAUACAUUCCAAGAAGGGACAGAAGUCAAGUGUGAAGCAAAUGGUGCUGUUCCUGAUGACCCUUCUCCUGUCCCACAUCCCGAGCUGAGCUUGGCUGAAAGCCUGUGGACUUCCAAACCACCACCUCUCUUCCAUGAAGGAGCACCUUAUCCUCCCCCUUUGUUUAUCAGGGACACAUAUAACCAAUCAAUACCUCAGCCACCUCCUCGGAAAAUUAAGCGACCCAAACGAAAAAUGUACAGGGAAGAACCCACUUCAAUAAUGAAUGCUAUUAAACUACGACCCAGGCAAGUUCUGUGUGAUAAAUGUAAAAACAGUGUUGUUGCUGAAAAAAAGGAAAUUAGAAAAGGUAGUAGUGCAAGUGACUCUUCUAAAUAUGAAGAUAAAAAACGGAGAAAUGAAAGUAUAACUACUGUGAACAAAAAACUGAAAACUGACCAUAAAGUGGAUGGGAAAAACCAAAAUGAAAGCCAGAAAAGAAAUGCUGUGGUUAAGGUUUCAAAUAUUGCUUACAGCAGAGGCAGAGUAGUAAAAGUUUCUGCUCAGGCAAAUACAUCAAAAGCUCAGUUAAGUACUAAAAAAGUUCUCCAGAGUAAGAACAUGGAUCAUGCGAAAGCUCGGGAAGUGUUAAAAAUUGCCAAAGAAAAGGCACAAAAGAAGCGAAAUGAAACCUCUACUUCCAAAAAUGCACAUUCAAAAGUCCAUUUCACACGUCGAUAUCAGAAUCCUAGCUCAGGUUCCCUUCCACCCCGGGUUCGUUUAAAACCACAGAGGUACAGGAAUGAAGAAAAUGACUCUUCUCUGAAGACAGGACUUGAGAAAAUGCGGAGUGGCAAGAUGGCACCCAAGCCCCAGUCUCGCUGCACCUCUACCCGCUCAGCAGAAUUUAUAGACCAGGAAGCUGACUAAUCAUUUGGAAGGAACAUCCAUUCAACUCUCAUUUACAGAUGUGGAACCAAAGACCAAACAAUUAUCUGUGAGAGGCCAGGUCUCAACAAAUGGCAGCUAUUACAUCAGACAGUGACGAGUCCUGCUGCUCCCUUACAGUGUCUGACAGACCACUGUGGAUUCAGACUGGGAGCAUUGAAGUUAACAGUGAAACGGGCAGCACAAAGACAUUAGCAGGCUGCUGGUUUCAUGGACCUGUACCACAAUGACACAGAGAACACCAGAGCAUCAGGACUGAAUGAAAUUGGAGUUUUUAAAGCUGCACUAAGAAGUAAAUGUUAAGGCAGUGGUUAAAAACAACAGUCUAUAAAGGGGCACUUGCAAAUUGUGCUAUCUUAAACCGAAGAAAAGGUAUUAGGGAAUAUUUUAUAAAAAAUAAACUAUUGCAAUAAAUUAUGCAUGAGAUGAGGAGAAAAAUGAUGUGAAUUACACACACAAGAACUCACUUGAAUUUUAUGUAUGAAGAAACACUGACAGUAACUUCUUUUGAAUGUGAAGUUCUUAUCAGUACAGUUUGGACAGGCCUAAAAGGCAUGGGAUAAUGCAGAAAUGCUGAAUUAUUUUUCAUACUUAAACUUUGUGCUUUCUCCAAGGUUUAGCUUAAUCAGUUCAGAUACGAGCAAAGGUAUUUCUAAAAUGGCUCUUCUAUGAAAAGCAAUAGUCACAUAUGCCAAGGCCAAUGUUUCCUUCAAGGUGCCAGUAGAAACAUCAGAAAAUAACACCCUGCUGAAAGGAUGGCAAAGUGCCCCGCCCCACCCCACAAACAAAAUUUGGAUCUUUUCCUUCUUUAAUAAAGCAGGGCUGUAUUAUCUUGAAUAUAUGUUUGCUUGUUAGAACAUAUUAAGAUAUAUUUAUUUGCCACUAGUAUUUAACAUUUUGUGCACAUUUUCAUAAUUACAUUCUUACCUUUCAAAUUUUGACUCAAAGUGGAUAGGCUGGUGUUGAUCUUGGAGUGCAAAUGUAUAUACUCCAAGAGCUAGUUCUUAAUUCUGCUGAGUUGGAAAGCCUUUUAUUAUUGUCUGUAUCCUUACUGGUUUUAUCUAGUUCAAAAAAGGUGACAACGUCUAAAUUUUGAUGUGGACCUCUCUCCACAGAGAACCCCUCCUAAGUGCAAGAAAUUCUAACAGGUGUCAGUAGGACUUGGCCCUGGGGGACAAGUGGCAGGAACAGGAUCCUUUAAAACAGUGUCAAACUUUUCAUGCAUGGAGCAUGAAUUCUUACUAAUAGAGACUGUAAUUUUUUUCUUGUCUUUGGUAAAUACAUAAAAAACCUUAAUUUUUCUUUUUUAAUGAAUGGAGAAAACAUGAGAAAACCAGAUGGACCUGUUAGUACUACAUUUUUAAGGCAUUUUAUAUUUGAUGGUGCCGUACUUUUAAUAAUAAUAAAACUGAAGUCUUUUAGUGGCAAUACUGAUUUAUUUUUUAAACCAGAAAAUCCAUAUUGAUUACUUAUUACAAAAAGGGGAAAAUAUGCCAAAAAAUAAAAAACCUUAAAAUUCAUAUGAAGCAACAUAACAGAUAACUGAGCACUUGGCUCAAGUAGUCAGACUUUCCAUAAUGUUACUGUGUAAGUUUGGAAUUACCUAAUAACCCCAGGCUCAGGAUUAACAAAACGUUCUGGGUGAGUUUUAAAACAUUUAAUACACCUAUGAUUUGUUUUACAACUUGAAGAAAAGGCAGGUAGUCUUGUGUCUAAUGAGCUUAAUGCAAAUUCUAAUUAUACUGCAAAUAAUUUAAAGUUUUGAUUGCAUUCUACAAUUGUCUUUUUGGAAAAUUACAUAUUAUGAAGUCAUUAUAUACUUUAUCAAAUCAGAAAAAGUCAGCUCAGGAACUGUAGCAGCAGGGAGUUCUAAAGAUGACAUGAAUUAUACUAUAGGGGUGUCCUACUCUAUAUGGCCUAGGGCUUUGGUUUGGGUCAGUCUUGUUCUUUCAGAUACAUAACACCAGCAGUACCUUUCAGGCUCACUUCAAGAACCAGAUAACUCUCCCAAACCAUGAUACAUGAAUUGUAUAAUCAAGAUUUUUAAUUAAGCUUUAGAAUUCUUUAUUUGUGUAGAGUGAUGGAAAUGACCAAGAAGUAAUAAUAUAAAGCAAAAGAAUUGGGAGAGAUCAGGUUUUAAGUAUAUAAAUAUUUUUUUUUCUCAUGGCAUAUUCUCAAAGAUGUUUUGUUACAAACCAGAUUUUUAUUUUUUAAAAAAUGAGACUUGGUGGUAUUUAAAAUCUAGACCUACCAUGUUGCUAUUUCACUUUCAUUGCUUUAGUUGCUUAAUAUUUAAGCUUUGCUUCAUGCUACCUUUUGUCUGUAUUUCAAUCUUCAUAAGCCUAUUUUGUUUUGUAGACUUGAAUGAUAAAAAUUGUUUCUCAUCUUAAGUAUGCUCAGAGUUUUAAAUGUUCAAGAAUGUUGUGUAACCUUUAUCCAAUAAAGUCUUUGAUUUUUUAAAAA